rnacentral:rRNA from 1 species
UACGGAGGAUGCAAGCGUUAUCCGGAAUGAUUGGGCGUAAAGCGUCCGCAGGUGGCCAUGUAAGUCUGCUGUCAAAGCGUCUGGCUCAACCAGAUAAAGGCAGUGGAAACUACAUAGCUAGAGUAAGGUAGGGGUAGAGGGAAUUCCUGGUGUAGCGGUGAAAUGCGUAGAGAUCAGGAAGAACACCGGUGGCGAAAGCGCUCUGCUGGACCUUAACUGACACUGAGGGACGAAAGCUGGGGGAGCGAAUGGG